rnacentral:rRNA from 1 species
AGCAGUAGCGCGGUAAUACAGAGGGUGCGAGCGUUAAUCGGAUUUACUGGGCGUAAAGCGUGCGUAGGCGGCUUCUUAAGUCGGAUGUGAAAUCCCUGAGCUUAACUUAGGAAUUGCAUUCGAUACUGGGAAGCUAGAGUAUGGGAGAGGAUGGUAGAAUUCCAGGUGUAGCGGUGAAAUGCGUAGAGAUCUGGAGGAAUACCGAUGGCGAAGGCAGCCAUCUGGCCUAAUACUGACGCUGAGGUACGAAAGCAUGGGGAGCAAACAGGAUUAGAUACCCGGGUAGUCCCUGUCUCUUAUACC